rnacentral:lncRNA from 1 species
AGAGGAGUCUUUACACAAUCGGGGAUGAUCAAAUGACCCAAGCUCACACCAGCCUACUGCCUAGUAUCAGGAUCGAUGACUCUCUGGAGCAGCGCGAAGACACUAUUAAAGCCCGCUAUCUUGUCCCUCCAUAUGCUCCAAAUGACCACGGAGAUAAAAGCAUUCACAAUUUUCUUUCGCCCACCCUGCAUUCUUGACCUAGCAUCCUGCCACCGGACACGAAGAGCAAGAUCAGUAGGAGUGACCUCGUUUCAGAAUCAUUCUAAAAAAAUACCUAAAGUCUGUCAAUAUAGACGAAAACAAAAUUCUUGAGUACUUACCGAGGCUUCUCUAUGUAAACUGGAAGAGAGACAAAAAUCAGACAUCGCAACAUAUAAAAUCCCAUGAAAAUGUGUUGCUCAACAGUUCUUCCAGUUGGUGUAUUCUCAUAUUCCAGGGAAACAUGAAAUUCAUACAAAAUGAAAAACCUAGGACAUGGCUGGGUAUAGUCUUUAAGACAAAACCAGGAUUUCACUAAUCAACACAGGACAGCAAAGCACAAAUUUUGAGUGUUCAGAGUAAGCACAAAAUUUGGAGAGCCAGAUUGCAUAAAAGUUGACAAAAGGUCACUUGAUUAGCCUAUAAACGCAGGAGAAGUCAAAUUCUAAGUAAUUUUUUCUCCUCCAUAAGUGCUUACAUCAUACAGCUCACCUCGACAACCCAAAAAGUAGUCUUUGCUGUAACAACAAAAAGAACAAACUUGUAGGGAAAGAUCCCUCCAUCUUCAAGCAACAUCCUUGAAAGGCUUAGUUAUUC